CGAACGGGUGAGUAAUGCGUGACCAACCUGCCCCAUGCUCCAGAAUAGCUCUUGGAAACGGGUGGUAAUGCCGGAUGCUCCAACUUGACGCAUGUCUUGUUGGGAAAGUGUUUAGUGGCAUGGGAUGGGGUCGCGUCCUAUCAGCUUGUAGGCGGGGUAAUGGCCCACCUAGGCUUCGACGGGUAGCCGGCCUGAGAGGGCGGACGGCCACAUUGGGACUGAGAUACGGCCCAGACUCCUACGGGAGGCAGCAGGC
rnacentral:rRNA from 1 species